AGAGUUUGAUCCUGGCUCAGAGCGAACGCUGGCGGCAGGCUUAACACAUGCAAGUCGAACGGGCACCUUCGGGUGUCAGUGGCAGACGGGUGAGUAACACGUGGGAACGUGCCCAUCGGUUCGGAACAACCCAGGGAAACUUGGGCUAAUACCGGAUACGACCUUACGGUGAAAGAUUUAUCGCCGAUGGAUCGGCCCGCGUCUGAUUAGCUAGUUGGUGAGGUAAUGGCUCACCAAGGCGACGAUCAGUAGCUGGUCUGAGAGGAUGAUCAGCCACACUGGGACUGAGACACGGCCCAGACUCCUACGGGAGGCAGCAGUGGGGAAUAUUGGACAAUGGGCGAAAGCCUGAUCCAGCCAUGCCGCGUGAGUGAUGAAGGCCUUAGGGUUGUAAAGCUCUUUCGGCGGGGACGAUAAUGACGGUACCCGCAGAAGAAGCCCCGGCUAACUUCGUGCCAGCAGCCGCGGUAAUACGAAGGGGGCUAGCGUUGCUCGGAAUCACUGGGCGUAAAGGGCGCGUAGGCGGCCGAUCAAGUCAGAGGUGAAAGCCCAAGGCUCAACCUUGGAAUUGCCUUUGAUACUGUUCGGCUCGAGACCGGAAGAGGUAAGUGGAACUGCGAGUGUAGAGGUGAAAUUCGUAGAUAUUCGCAAGAACACCAGUGGCGAAGGCGGCUUACUGGUCCGGUUCUGACGCUGAGGCGCGAAAGCGUGGGGAGCAAACAGGAUUAGAUACCCCGGUAGUCC
rnacentral:rRNA from 2 species